ACCUGGCUGGCUUAGUUGGUAGAGCUUGUGACUUUUGAUCUUAAGGUUGUAGGUUCAAGCCCCAUGUUGGGCA